rnacentral:rRNA from 1 species
CACGUAGUUAGCCGGGGCUUCCUCCAAGGGUACCGUCAUUAUCUUCCCCAAGGACAGAAGUUUACGAUCCGAAGACCUUCUUCCUUCACGCGGCGUUGCUGCAUCAGGCUUUCGCCCAUUGUGCAAUAUUCCCCACUGCUGCCUCCCGUAGGAGUUUGGACCGUGUCUCAGUUUCCAAUGUGGCCGAUCACCCUCUCAGGUCGGCUACUGAUCGUCGCCUUGGUAGGCCGUUACCCCACCAACUAGCUAAUCAGACGCAGGCCCAUCCUUUGCCGAUAAAUCUUUGACCAAACAGCCAUGUGACUAUUUAGUAUUAUGAGGUUUUAAUCAUCGUUUCCAAUGGCUAUCCCUCUGCAAAGGGCAGGUUGCCUACGCGUUACUCACCCGUCCGCCGCUCUCCAUCUUAAAAAUCUACCGAAGCUUCAUUUUAAAAUUUCCCGACUCGACUUGCAUGUGUUAGGCACGCCGCCAGCGUUCACUCCUGACGCCAGGAUCAAACUCU